rnacentral:rRNA from 1 species
UGGCCCUUCGGGGAACCCGGUGACAGGUGCUGCAUGACUGUCGUCAGCUCGUGUCGUGAGAUGUUGGGUUAAGUCCCGCAACGAGCGCAACCCUUGUCUUUAAUUGCCAUCAUUUAGUUGGGCACUUUAAAGAGACUGCCGGUGUUAAGCCGGAGGAAGGUGGGGAUGACGUCAAGUCCUCAUGGCCUUUAUGCCCAGGGCUACACACGUGCUACAAUGGGCGGUACAAAGAGAAGCAACCUCGCGAGGGUGAGCAAAUCUCAAAAAGCCGUUCUCAGUUCGGAUUGAAGUCUGCAACUCGACUUCAUGAAGUCGGAAUCGCUAGUAAUCGCGGAUCAGCAUGCCGCGGUGAAUACGUUCCCGGGCCUU